rnacentral:misc_RNA from 1 species
UACAUUAUUUGGGAAGUGGGAUGAGAGUAUGCAUUAUGUGAAUGGGGAUUUCUCCUUAGGAAAAGGAUUUGAUUCUCUCUCUGAGGCUCAUUUGCUAUGGAAGCGGAGCAAACCUCCCAAAGAUCCUACUAGAUAUAAUCUGACACGGUUCGCAAUUACAAUGAAUGAGCUCAUACCUGGACUGAAGGACAAGCUGCCACCAACAGAUUCUAGACUUAGACCUGAUCAGAGGUGCUUGGAGAAUGGUGAGUAUGACAGGGCUAAUUCAGAAAAGCUGCGUCUUGAGGAACGGCAACGACAGGCUCGGAAAAUGCAAGAACGGGGUUGGAAGCCUCAGUGGUUUGCAAAAGAGAAAGGGGGUGAUAGUUACAACUACAUUGGUGGUUAUUGGGAAGCAAGGGAGAAGGGCAAGUGGGAGGCCUGUCCUGAUAUUUUUGGUCAUAUCCCUUGUGAUCAGAUGUAAAGAAAGAGUGAGUGAAACUCUAAAUCAAUUUCCGGCUUAUUACUUCCAUUUCUUUACAAAUAUUUUACACAAUCAUUAUACAGUACACUAGUGGAGAGGGUGCAAAUUGUUUAUGACAUAUGUAAAGUAGUACUUUGAA